rnacentral:rRNA from 1 species
UGGGGAAUCUUGCGCAAUGGGAGCAAUCCUGACGCAGCAACGCCGCGUGGGUGAUGAAGGUCUUCGGAUCGUAAAGCCCUGUCGGAGGGGAAGAUGCUUUGUGCGGCUAACAGUCGCAUGAGGUGACGGUACCCUCAAAGGAAGCACCGGCUAACUCUGUGCCAGCAGCCGCGGUAAUACAGAGGGUGCAAGCGUUGUUCGGAAUUAUUGGGCGUAAAGGGAGUGUAGGCGGUUCGUUAAGUCUUCUGUGAAAUCUACGGGCUUAGCCUGUAACGUGCAGAGGAAACUAGCGGGCUUGAGUGUCGGAGAGGAUAGGGGAAUACCCAGUGUAGAGGUGAAAUUCGUAGAGAUUGGGUGGAACACCAGUGGCGAAGGCGCCUAUCUGGCUGACAACUGACGCUGAGACUCGAAAGCAUGGGGAGCAAACA